GUCUAUGGCCAUGCCACCCUGAACAAGCCCAAUCCUGUCUGAUCUUGGAAGCUAAGCAGGGUCAGGUCUGAUUAGUACUUGGAUGGGAGACCACCUAGGAAGACCAGGUGCUGUUGGCA
rnacentral:rRNA from 1 species